UACGGAGGGUGCAAGCGUUGUCCGGAUUUAUUGGGUUUAAAGGGUGCGUAGGCGGCCUGUUAAGUCAGCGGUGAAAUCCCAGGGCUCAACCCUGGAACUGCCGUUGAUACUGGCAGGCUUGAGUUCGGUCGAGGCGGGCGGAACUGGUGGUGUAGCGGUGAAAUGCAUAGAUACCACCAAGAACCCCGAUUGCGAAGGCAGCUCGCUGGGCCGAAACUGACGCUGAGGCACGAAAGCGUGGGGAGCGAACAGG
rnacentral:rRNA from 1 species